AGCGAACGCUGGCGGCAGGCCUAACACAUGCAAGUCGAACGAACUCUUCGGAGUUAGUGGCGGACGGGUGAGUAACACGUGGGAACGUGCCUUUUGGUUCGGAAUAACUCAGGGAAACUUGUGCUAAUACCGAAUGUGCCCUUCGGGGGAAGGAUUUAUCGCGAUUAGAGCGGCCCGCGUCUGAUUAGCUAGUUGGUGAGGUAACGGCUCACCAAGGCGACGAUCAGUAGCUGGUCUGAGAGGAUGACCAGCCACACUGGGACUGAGACACGGCCCAGACUCCUACGGGAGGCAGCAGUGGGGAAUCGUGCGCAAUGGGCGAAAGCCUGACGCAGCCAGGCCGCGUGAAUGAUGAAGGUCUUAGGAUUGUAAAAUUCUUUCACCGGGGACGAUAAUGACGGUACCCGGAGAAGAAGCCCCGGCUAACUUCGUG
rnacentral:rRNA from 1 species